GUGCUCGCUUUGCAGCACCUAGGCUGAAACUGGAAGGAUACAGAGAAGAUUAGCACGACCCCUGUGCAAGGAUGGCAUGCAAAUUCGUGAAGCAUUUCACAUUUAA
ensembl:snRNA U6 U6 spliceosomal RNA